rnacentral:misc_RNA from 1 species
GCAAGAUGGAAUUUGACAUUUUUACUACUUCCAGUAUGGAAUGGGGGAAGAAACGACAUGCUUCAACACUCGAAACAGAAAAAAAUAUCACAAAGAACAAAAUAGAACUACACUGAUAUUUCAAGAAUCUGAUUGUAGCACUCAAACAAAUGAACGGAGGAAGUGAUAAAAUUGGCAAUGAAAGCAUAAGAUGCGACUUGACGGAUGACAACUAAAUAAACUUAACACAAGGAGAAACAAAGACGAAAACAAACACGAAGCUAUUGGGUCAAAGCGUAAACGGACCAACCAUGUAUACUCACAUUCGAGUAUCUCAACACAACUUGACCCAAAAACGAAACAAAGGAACAACAAAUUGGUGAACAGCAACACAUAACGAUUUAGACUAUCACUAGAGAAAAUCGAUAGUCACAGCUAAAAACCAUCGCAUCAAAGCAACAAAGAUGAGGUAAGUUCGAAAGGGGUAAACCGUACCUUUUCCGGUGCAGCAAGACUGAGACGAGAA